rnacentral:rRNA from 1 species
UACGUAGGGGGCAAGCGUUGUCCGGAAUUAUUGGGCGUAAAGAGCUCGUAGGCGGCUCGUUGCGUCGGCUGUGAAAACCCGCAGCUCAACUGUGGGCUUGCAGCUGAUACGGGCGGGCUUGGAUUCGGUAGGGGAGACUGGAAUUCCUGGUGUAGCGGUGAAAUGCGCAGAUAUCAGGAGGAACACCGGUGGCGAAGGCGGCUAUCUGGACAGAAACUGACGCUGAGGCGCGAAAGCUAGGGGAGCAAACAGG